rnacentral:siRNA from 1 species
AGCUCUCGAAGUUCACCACAAGGA